rnacentral:rRNA from 1 species
CCUGGUAGCGGGGGAUAACUAUUGGAAACGAUAGCUAAUACCGCAUAACAGUAGAUAUUGCAUGAUAUCUGCUUGAAAGGUGCAAAUGCAUCACUACCAGAUGGACCUGCGUUGUAUUAGCUAGUUGGUGGGGUAACGGCUCACCAAGGCGACGAUACAUAGCCGACCUGAGAGGGUGAUCGGCCACACUGGGACUGAGACACGGCCCAG